GCACAUGGUCGGUAUUGCAGUUUCUAGCCAAGGUGUGCUCUAUUUGCGAAAACCCAGACGUUCCAUGCAUUUUGUGGCCACAAAUUUUAAUAUUGUCACAAUUUAGUAUUUUGUGGCCAUGUUUUAACCCCAAUAUCCUGUCUAGGGCUGCGGAGUUUCCAAAUAAUCCCAGAUACCAGCAAUUUGAAAUAUCAGGUCCGCAAGCCUCUGGUUUGACACCUUUGUUCUUCAAUGACGGCUUGCAGACGCACGUAAAUAAUGAAGGCUUCAGUAAGAAACAGCUAACAGAACCUACGCGCUGUGGGGUAACCUGUGUAGCAGUGGCUCACAUUUGAGAAUUCCUGCGCGAGAAUCAACAAGAUGACGACAGACAGGAGGGGCGUCACACUCACCUGUGCUUGUCGGAGUCUUUGUAACUCGCUCAUCUUGGC